UACACCCUUUGCCUUGCGAGGAGUGUCCCGUUUGAGUUUCAGGAGGUUAGGGGUUUUGUUGUUACAUUGUUUUAUUUUCAUAAAGAGAGAAUGUACUUGACAUGUAGCAAAUAUUGCACAAUGCCUUUCUCUUUAAUGAAAUAUACUAAAUCUUCUCAUUGUGACCCUCACGUUGUAGAUGGACAUGCCUGUGAUUCCAAAGUGGUGGUGUGUCCGCCUCAUGGAGCGAUUUGAAACUGAGGGGUAUGACGCCUGUAACUGGUUUGACUUUAACAAAGGGAUAGUUUGGUCAUAAUACCAAACCAUUACAAAAUAAAAGUAAAAGAAGAAAUAUCAGUUAAAAAAAGAAAAUAAAGGUUGCAUAUUACUUGCAGUGUGGACAUUUAUCUCAGAAUUUUUGUUCUCCUUAAUUGAAAGGCAAGGCAAAAGGUUUGCCCACUGGACAAGCCAGGCAAAAUGUCUCCUGACUGGAAUGCUGCCACCAGUUUUCAGGGUACCAAGGAGCUUUAGGCUGACUGAAGACAUCCCCCAACACAUCCAAGCAGCACAGAAGCAGAAAGACACAGCAGAGAAAAUACUGGAUGUCAUCAAGACAGGGAAGACAGAGAAACACCUCAAAUCUGUCCUGACUGGUGAAGUGUCAUCCAAGUGGUUGGAGAGGUUUCUUGGUGACUCCAAAUUCCAGGCUCCUGUUUAUUUUGAGGAUGGAGAACACCUCAAGGCUUUACGGUCAUACUUGUCCAAUAUCAUGGACACCACCCCUACAGAUUACACUGUUGGAGACAGGAUUGAGUUUGUCCUCAAUGUGUUGUGUCCAGAAGCCACGACAUCUGCAAUUGCCGAGGUACAUGGGGUUACCCCUGAAGAGGCAGAGCAAUUAUUCAGCAGUGGUCCAGGCAUCCAGAAAAGUGAAACAAAGCACUUUGAAGACCAGCUGGAAAGAAGGUUAAAUCAAGAAGGGUGCCAGCCACUAAGAAAGCACCGAAGGAUGGCCUCUUGAAAGCGUUCUUUCUCUUUCUCUUUGCACUCACUGUGUGGGGGAAAUGUUGCAUAUGAUGUGAGUGAAUAUAUACAUUAUAUAUAUAUAUAUAUAUAUAUAUAUAUAUACAUAUAUAUUUGUACAGUAUUAUUUGUCAAUAAAAAUCCAUGUCAUUGGCGGACUGACAAAUAUUGUUACCUCCUUGAAAAUGUGAUGAAAAUGUAGUGUCUUUGUUUCUCUUUGCACUCACUGUGUGGGGGAAAAAAAAUUGCAUAUGAUGUGAAUAUAUAUAUAUAUAUAUUUGUACAGUAUUAUUUGUCAAUAAAAAUCCAUGUCGGUGGCGGACUGACAUGCGGGGGGGUAUAGGGUUUCCAAUAUUGUUACCUCCUUGAAAAUGUGAUGACAAUGUAGUCUUUCUUUCUCUUUGCACUCACUGGCCCUCAUUUAUCAAACGAACGUACGACAGAAAAACGUGCGUACGACCAUUUCCACGCAAACUUCGGCAUUUAUCAAUCUGAACGUGAGUGGAAGCUACGAUCAAAUCUCACGUCAGGUCUGAGAUCGUGUACGCAAAUUUGAGUCUGUGGAUUUGCGGUGCAGCACAGCAAAAUCUGGCUGAGUCUGAAAAUAAUUAUUAAACAAACCUCAGCUGUCAUUAAGCAUAAGCAGUCACAUAUUUAGAUCAGAUCAAAACGGGUUCUUAAAACGAAUAAAACAAAAACAUUUUUUUUAAAAGCCCACAUUCUUACUGAAAGGCUACCACUUUUUUGUAAUAUAAAAUAUGAUAGGCUACGUGACAACUAAUUAAUGGAAUAUCAGGGUUCUCCCCAGACGGUGGAACAGCGGCGCUGCGCCGCUCUACCGCUCGGUCAGCGCCGCUAUACUCCGCGCGUGACAGUGUCGAGCGUCCGUCCGUCCGUCCGCCGUCCCCCGGUUGACGGCUAGGAGCUCCCGGCUGACGGCGAUGAGCGUCCGUCCGUACUGACGGAGUUGAUGACCGGCUGUCCGUACGUCCGUGUCUCCCCCCCCCCGGACUGACGUUGACGAGCGGUUGACGAGCGCCCCCCCGGACUGACAUUGACGAGCGGUCGCGCACCCCCCCCCCCCCCCCUGGACAGACGGUGCGCCGCUAUACUAAGAAUUUCUGGGGAGAACCCUGAAUAUCUAAUAACCCUGCUACAGAGCAGGAACGCACACACGCACACGGGUCACAGUGGAGCUGCUUCGGGUUGCUGAAGGGCAGGUGGCUCUGUCUCGGACCAGCAGGGGGAACGCUGCUGUAUACCCCGGAGAAAGUGUGCGAUAUCAUUUUGGCCUGUCAAGUUUUGCACAACAUUGUAUUAGUGAAUGGAGUGAGUGCCUUCGAUGUGCCGGCGCAGCCAGAUGAGCCAAUGCCCAUUGAACUGUGGCCAGCACAGCCUCCACUGGGGGCUAUACGGAGGAGACAGGACCUCAUUCAUCACCUUUAAAACGUAAAGUAUACCUUAAACUCUUGCAAAUGCUCUGCAGUAUUUAAUCAGUAAUGUGAAUUAUUGGUGGAAUUGGCUAAAGGCAUAAUAAAGACAGAAAAUGGAC
ensembl:lncRNA